UGGGGAAUAUUGGACAAUGGGCUCAAGCCUGAUCCAGCCAUACCGCGUGGGUGAAGAAGGCCUUCGGGUUGUAAAGCCCUUUUGUUGGGAAAGAAAUCCAGCUGGCUAAUACCCGGYUUGGGAUGACCGGUACCCAAAGAAUAAGCACCGGCUAACUUCGUGCCAGCAGCCGCGGUAAUACGAAGGGUGCAAGCGUUACUCGGAAUUACUGGGCGUAAAGCCGUGCGUAGGUGGUCGUUUAAGUCCGUUGUGAAAGCCCUGGGCUCAACUCUGGGAACUGCAGUGGAUACUGGGCGACUAGAGUGUGGUANAGGGUAGCGGAAUUCYUGGUGUAGCAKUGAAAUGCGUAGAGAUCAGGAGGAACAUCCAUGGCGAAGGCAGCUACCUGGACCAACACUGMCACUGAGGCACGAAAGCGUGGGGAGCAAACAKGAUUAGAUACCCUGGUAGUCCACGCCCUAAACSAUGCGAACUGGAUGUUGGGUGCANUUUUGGCUACGCAGUAUCGAAGCUAACGCGUUAAGUUCGCCGCCUGGGGAGUACGGUCGCAAGACUG
rnacentral:rRNA from 1 species